CGAUCGGGAGGCCACCCUUGGGACGGUGGUCAGGCAUAGAUCGGAACCUGCCCCUCGCGGAUGGAUGCGCGGCCGGAGCCCGACGGCGCGCGCU
rfam:Roseivivax isoporae LMG 25204 contig21, whole genome shotgun sequence.